rnacentral:sRNA from 1 species
CCCAGCGAUAAAUCGCUGGGCUAUUUUCGGUUGCCCCUCCGGGGCA